CUAAUGGGACAUAAUCAAAAAAAUUAAAGCUGGAACAAUACAGAGAAGAUUAGCAUGGCCCCUGCGCA
rnacentral:snRNA from 14 species